UGUAAGAGGAAAGUUAUUAUACGCAUGCGCAGUGGAAUUACAUUUCUUGAAAGUUUUUUAAAAUGGCUACGGUAACAGGAUUAUACAAACUAAUCAUUGACAACGAUAUUCCAACCAUAUUCGUGUUUCAACAAAGAAACUUACCUGUUGUAAAGAAGGGAAAAGUAAACUAAAGCAGAAAGACUUUUUCUUGGAACUCGAUAUAAAUAUUUUUUGUGU
rnacentral:lncRNA from 1 species